UUAACUCUUUUGGGAGAACUCGGUGUUAGGCCGACGCCGAAGGCGUAACCCGUCCGUAAUCGCUCAGGCAAAUGGACCAUAAGAGGGGU
rfam:Cycloclasticus sp. symbiont of Poecilosclerida sp. N isolate specimen N Ga0097676_172, whole genome shotgun sequence.